rnacentral:tRNA from 1 species
GGGGUUGUGGCUCAGUGAUAGAGCAUGAGCCUAUCUUGUGCAAGGCCUUGGGUUCAAUCCUCAGCACCACA